GGCCUUGUGACACAAUCGGUUAGGGUUUUCGGCUUUUAACCGAAAGGUUGGUGAUUCGGGUCCACCCAGGUGUG
rnacentral:tRNA from 1 species